rnacentral:rRNA from 1 species
GAUGAACGCUGGCGGCGUGCCUAAUACAUGCAAGUCGAGCGAAUGGAUUAAGAGCUUGCUCUUAUGAAGUUAGCGGCGGACGGGUGAGUAACACGUGGGUAACCUGCCCAUAAGACUGGGAUAACUCCGGGAAACCGGGGCUAAUACCGGAUAACAUUUUGAACCGCAUGGUUCGAAAUUGAAAGGCGGCUUCGGCUGUCACUUAUGGAUGGACCCGCGUCGCAUUAGCUAGUUGGUGAGGUAACGGCUCACAAAGGCAACGAUGCGUAGCCGGCCGGAGAGGGUGGUCGGCCACACUGGGACUGAGCCACGGCCCAGACUCCUACGGGAGGCAGCAGUAGGGAAUCUUCCGCAAUGGACGAAAGUCUGACGGAGCAACGCCGCGUGAGUGAUGAAGGCUUUCGGGUCGUAAAACUCUGUUGUUAGGGAAGAACAAGUGCUAGUUGAAUAAGCUGGCACCUUGACGGUACCUAACCAGAAAGCCACGGCUAACUACGUGCCAGCCGCCGCCGUAA